GCCAUUACUACAGCCUGCCAGGGGGUCCAGGCUUGUCGGCCGAAGUUCGGUUGGGGUGUCUGGCGGAGAGAGGUGGCUAGCUACCCAUCUGAGAGGAGUCGGAUGCUGCAAAUCCUGUUGGGUGCCUUGGGCAUUAAGGCGACAGGCGAGGACCACUUGCCGUAGGAGCUCGAUCAGAGGCUUCCCGCAGGCAAAGUCGGGGACAAAGUCCGACUCCCGUAGGAGUCCGGAUGAAGUCUUUUUGCAGUCGGAGUCGGGGAUGAAGUUUGGCUCCCGUAGGAGUCCGGACGAAGUCUACCUCGGGGGCGAAGUCCGGCUCCCGUAGGAGUCCGGACGAAGUCUUCCUGCAGCCAGAGUCGAGGAUGAAGUCUGGCUCCUGUAGGAGUACGGACGAAGUCUACCUGCAAUUGAAGUCAGGAUCGAAGUAUGGCUCCCAUAGGAGUCCGGACGAAGUCUACCC
rnacentral:lncRNA from 1 species